GAUGAACGCUGGCGGCGUGCCUAAUACAUGCAAGUCGAGCGAACGGACGAGAAUCUUGCUUCUCUGAUGUUAGCGGCGGACGGGUGAGUAACACGUGGAUAACCUACCUAUAAGACUUGUAUAACUUCGGGAAACCGGAGCUAAUACCGGAUGAUAUUUUGAACCGCAUGGUUCAAAAGUGAAAGACGGUCUUGCUGUCACUUAUAGAUGGAUCCGCGCUGCAUUAGCUAGUUGUUAAGGUAACGGCUUACCAAGGCAACGAUGCAUAGCCGACAUGAGAGGGGGAUAGGCCAAACUGGAACUGAGACACGGUCAAGACUACUACGGGAGGCAGAAGUAGGGAAGAUUCCGCAAUGGGCGAAAGCAUGACGGAGCAACGCCGCGUGAGUGAUGAAGGUCUUCGGAUCGUAAAACUCUGUUAUUAGGGAAGAACAUAUGUGUAAGUAACUGUGCACAUCUUGACGGUACCUAAUCAGAAAGCCACGGCUAACUACGUG
rnacentral:rRNA from 1 species